UGCGUUGCCCCUCCAGUCAGCAGAUGGCGAUGUGCGUCUUUUAGGUUCAGGCGACGCUGCCAGUGUGACGUAUAAUCUAGUGGACGGGACGCUCCUACAACAACAACAGUUAGACACCUCGGUAGCUUUCUAGCAAACAUAGCUACAACAUUCACUCUCUUUACACUGUUUUGGUGUAUAUUAGUCGCUGUGUAUUAACCACACUUCUGUCGUAUGUACGUGUUGGCCCAUUUAAUUAUAUAUUUACGUUGUUUGUCAGCUAGCUGGUUUGCUAAAUUAGCUUAGAACUAGGCUAGUUGCUAAUGCUAGCUAGCGAACAUCUCCGACCAUGAGUUCACUAAGCUACUCUCCUCCUGCUAAAGAAGAGGAGGUCUUCUGGACGGAGAAAGAAGCUCUCCUGAAAGAGGAGGAGGAAGAGAAGGAUGUUACAAUACAAAAACAAGUAGAGGGUGAGGCUGUUACCGUGAAAGAAGAAGAGAAAGACGUUUCAGUGAAAGAAAAGGAAGACUCGUUCGGAGUGAAAGAGGAGGAGGAUGUUACAGUAAAAGAAGAGGAAGCGGAGAGAGAGGAGGAUGCAGUUUUUGGAGUGAAAGAGGAGGAGGGGAGAUGACUGUCACAUCGAAAAAGGAGGAGGAGGACGAAGAAGAGGAAACUGGAUAUCUGGGCCCGGUUUCCCCAACGCAUCUUAAGGCAUCCUAUGGUUCUGACGGUGAACUCAGCCGUAAGAUGGUUUUGAGAAACCGGGCCGUGAUUAACACUAGAGAGAGACGUGACUAUCGUGGAUCCUCUGGGGAGCCUCAACAACAUCAUGAAGCUGACGAGGCAGAGAAGAGUCCCUCCCGAUCAGAACACCUCAAGAAACACCAGUGGAGACCAACAGGGAAGAAAUCUCACUGCUGCUCUGACUGUGGGAAGAGUUACUUAAGAUUAAAUUAACUAAAAGUACACAUGAGAAUUCACACUGGAGAGAAACCUUAUAGCUGUGAUCAAUGUGGGAAGAGUUUUACUCAGUCAAGCAGCCUGUUAUCUCACCAGAGAACACACACAGGAGAGAAACCUUACAGCUGUGAUCAAUGUGGGAAGAGUUUUACUCAGUCAAGCAACCUGGUAUCACACCAGAGAACACACACAGGAGAGAAACCUUACAGCUGUUAUCAAUGUGGGAAGAGUUUUACUCAGUCAAGCAACCUGGUAUCACACCAGAGAACACACACAGGAGAGAAAUCUUAUAGCUGUGAUCAAUGUGGGAAGAGUUUUACUUCAUCUAGUCAUCUGAUUAUACACCAGAGAACACACACAGGAGAUAAAUCUCAUAGCUGUGAUCAAUGUGAGAAGAGAUACUCUGAUAAAAGAUCUCUGAUCAAACAUCAGAAAAUACAUUAAUGAUGGAGUUGUUUCAUGAUAUCAAUGAAUUAACGUCACAAUGUAGAGUGUUUAAACAUUGUAGUAGGAGUAUUUUAAUGAUGUCACAAUGUAGAAUGUUUUAACAUUGUAGUAGGAGUAUUUUAAUGAUGUCACAAUGUAGAAUGUUUUAACAUUGUAGUAGGAGUAUUUUAAUGAUGUCACAAUGUAGAAUGUUUUAACAUUGUAGAAGGAGUAUUUUAAUGAUGUCACAAUGUAGAACACUAAACGUUUGCUCCCUGUUCAA